GGUGUCUUGGCUAAGGUGUCUUGGCUAAUGUGUCUUGGCUAUGGUGUCUUGGCUAAGGUGUCUUGGCUAAUGUGUCUUGGCUAUGGUGUCUUGGCUAAGGUGUCUUGGCUAAUGUGUCUUGGCUAUGGUGUCUUGGCUAAUGUGUCUUGGCUAAUGUGUCUUGGCUAAUGUGUCUUGGCUAAUGUGUCUUGGCUAAUGUGUCUUGGCUAAUGUGUCUUGGCUAAUGUGUCUUGGCUAAAUUGUCUUGGCUAAGGUGUCUUGGCUAAGGUGUCUUGGCUAAUGUGUCUUGGCUAAUGUG